CUUACUAUUCUCAAAUGGCAGAGAACAGAAGCUCAGAGUUCAGGUCUUGUUAUCGACUCUUGCCCAGCUAUUGGAAAUGUGCUGCUUCUGCCUACUAGCUCAGUUUAGGGUUCUUUUGAAUCCGUAUGUCACAUUGGGUUAGAUGUUUGAAACCACCAAACUUGCAACUGGAAUUCGACCCUGCAAUCAAACGGAUGCGC
rnacentral:lncRNA from 1 species